AUCAAAAUACACUUAGAAUGAAACUAUAAAUAUCUGUAUGUAGUUCCCUGCUGCAAACCAGAACAUUGCUCAGAUCAAGUACAGCUGGACCAGUGCCUUAUGGACAAUGGAGGACACGAUCAACCCUUACUACUGGACAUUAUCAUUUUAUUGUAUUUUAACUACUUUUAUCAUUUUUAAACAAUGUAUCUUUAACCACUAUUUCUUUGUCAUUGUAACAUACUUGGGUGUGCUUGUUCUUUAUUAUAUGUGUGUAUACGUUUGUGUAUGUGUGUGUGUGUAUAUGAAACCAAGCGAGCUGGACAUGCUUACAUUAUAGGCUGCUGCUGGGGCCAAAAUACAGAAUCCAGCGACUCGCUCAUUCACUAAACAAUGACUUCAAAUCUUAGAGAUUGUAAUAGUUUUAUUUAUAAACACCUCACCUAGGCAAAAACUAAUGGGGGUUUAGUUACAUUAUAUGAUCAUACAUUGCAUAAGCCUUCCACAACACCAAUGUACCCCAUAUUCAGCAGGUCCUACACUAACAGCCUGUCUGAUCUUAUGUAUUUUGUGUGUGUACGUGCUCAUUCAUAUAUAUGUUUUGUAGUUUGUCUCGUUCUGCAUGCCAAAGCUUUAAAAAGUUCCCUGUUGCAAACUAGAACAUUGCUCAAUGUCCCAACGUGGAGCUGGUAAAGCAGACUCUGGUGUAUAGCGCUCUAAUACACGGUGCCAGUGUCCCAACGUGGAGCUGGUAAAGCAGACUCUGGUGUAUAGAGCUCUAAUACACGGUGCCACCCUUGGUGGAGCAGACUCUGGUGUAUAGCGCUCCGUCCCUUGGUGGAGCGGACUCUGGUGUAUAGCGCUCCGUCCCUUGGUGGAGCGGACUCUGGUGUAUAGCGCUCCGUCCCUUGGUGGGGCGGACUCUGGUGUAUAGCGCUCCGUCCCUUGGUGGAGCGGACUCUGGUGUAUAGCGCUCCGUCCCUUGGUGGGGCGGACUCUGGUGUAUAGCGCUCCGUCCCUUGGUGGAGCGGACUCUGGUGUAUAGCGCUCCGUCCCUUGGUGGGGCGGACUCUGGUGUAUAGCGCUCCGUCCCUUGGUGGAGCGGACUCUGGUGUAUAGCGCUCCGUCCCUUGGUGGGGCGGACUCUGGUGUAUAGCGCUCCGUCCCUUGGUGGGGCGGACUCUGGUGUAUAGCGCUCCGUCCCUUGGUGGGGCGGACUCUGGUGUAUAGCGCUCCGUCCCUUGGUGGGGCGGACUCUGGUGUAUAGCGCUCCGUCCCUUGGUGGGGCGGACUCUGGUGUAUAGCGCUCCGUCCCUUGGUGGGGCGGACUCUGGUGUAUAGCGCUCCGUCCCUUGGUGGGGCGGACUCUGGUGUAUAGCGCUCCGUCCCUUGGUGGGGCGGACUCUGGUGUAUAGCGCUCCGUCCCUUGGUGGGGCGGACUCUGGUGUAUAGCGCUCCGUCCCUUGGUGGGGCGGACUCUGGUGUAUA